AAGGAUGAAGUAUAAAUUAAUUUAUGUUUCAGUUACAUUGAAAAGAACCUAAAAUCCAGGCGUCCUUA
rnacentral:tRNA from 1 species